rnacentral:rRNA from 1 species
UACGAAGGGUGCAAGCGUUAAUCGGAAUUACUGGGCGUAAAGCGCGAGUAGGUGGUUCAGUAAGUUGGAAGUGAAAUCCCCGGGCUCAACCUGGGAACUGCUUUCAAAACUGCUGAGCUAGAGUACGGUAGAGGGUGGUGGAAUUUCCUGUGUAGCGGUGAAAUGCGUAGAUAUAGGAAGGAACACCAGUGGCGAAGGCGACCACCUGGACUGAUACUGACACUGAGGUGCGAAAGCGUGGGGAGCAAACAGG